UGGAACGGUCAGUCGUGCUGCACGAGCUCAUGAGUUUAAUUUAAUAUUUCUCCUCCAGAAUGAAUAAUUCCAGCGAGAAUGAAUUGAACAGCUCGGAUGAGGAGGUCCGGACUCUGUUCGUCAGUGGCUUACCGCUGGACAUCAAGCCCAGGGAACUGUACCUGCUAUUCAGGCCUUUCCAGGGUUAUGAAGGAUCCUUGAUCAGAUUCACCUCUAAACAGCCGGUGGGGUUUGUGAGCUUUGACAGUCGCUCAGAGGCGGAGGCCGCUAAGAUCGCCCUGAACGGAGUUCGAUUUGACCCGGAUAUUCCCCAGACUUUACGGCUGGAGUUUGCCAAAGCCAAUACCAAGAUGGCCAAGAACAAACUAGUGGGAAUCCCAAACCCUCCUCCAUCCCAACACAGUCCUGGACCGUCCUGCUUCAGCCGAGACCUCUAUGAAUUCACGGUGCCUGCACUGUAUCCCAGCAGUCCUGAUGUGUGGGCAUCAUACCCGCUGUACCCCGCUGAACUGCCUCCUGCUGCGUAUGCCUACAGCUCAUCACUGCAUGCUCAGAUUCGCUGGCUGCCGACUGCCGACGCAACCAAUCAGGGCUGGAAGAGCCGACAGUUCUGUUGACACAUAUAGAAAGCGAUGUUCACGAGGAGCUGACUGAAGCCCUUCAUCACUGCAGGUGUAACGCGACACAAACGAGUUCCUGAUCUUUCUCUCUUUCUCUUCUGACAGAUACAGCUACAUCAGCCUGAAACAAGAGCUGCUGCUGUGAACCAGGACAAUCACACGCUCCACGAGAACAAACCUCGCCCCCUCCUCUUCUCUUCUCUUCUCAUUUAUAUUGCUUGUGAAGUUUAUGAUUCAUGAUUAUUUAUAAUGCUGUUCACAUUAGUUUAAUAAUUAAUUACUGUAAGUUCUGAUGUGUUGAUGCAUGACCAAAAAGUCAUUUUGGUAUUUAGACAUUUUUAGAAAUUAUACUGCAUAUUCAUUUUAUUCUUAAGAAGCAAAUUAAGUAUUUUUAUAAUGAAUGAAGUAAAAUGUUUUCAGUGCCAUUUUAAUGUAGUUGCUGUUUCUUAAAUGUAUGAGAAUGUUUUUUAAUGGCUAUGAAUGUCUUAUUUAACUUUUAU